rnacentral:rRNA from 1 species
CUAACAUGUAUGCGAGUGUUUUGAAAGGGAAACGAUUGAAGUCAGUCGUACUUGCGGAUAAUCAACCUUUAGAUGCGAUUUUGUGGAGCGUCAAGAGUUAAACGCCUUCAUGCCUGCAUAUUCGUAUACUUUGGGUGUACUUAUUCGUGUGGUAAGUUAACAUCAAUUCCGGUCGCAUAAAAUGAUUGGAGGAAUGUAGCUUUGGUCUCGUAUCGAA